rnacentral:lncRNA from 1 species
UGGCAGUGUCACACUUAAUGCAAAGAGAGCAAGAGGAGAGGUGGUACAGAAAGCCGGAUAGAGGAGUGCAGCUGAGAGGAACCAUUUCUGUGCUAAAUAGCACAGGGAGCUGGAAUAUCAUGAGCUUUUCAGAGCUUUGCCCUUUGGGGCAGCUGAUUACCCAGGUGUUCUCUUCUUUCCUGAGGAUAAGCUUGAGGCAGACCGCACAGAAAGCAUGCUGACAGCCCAGGAGCUUUGGGACCCGGUAAAUGUUGUACUUGUUGAAGCAGACCAGGCAGUCCAUGUCUGCAAGAGAUGAUGUGGGUGAAGUCUGGUCAUUCCUUUCAGAACUGCAUACCUCAGGAGAGCUUGGGUUUGUUACCAUAGCGAGAGAUGCUGCAUUCAGACCAUCUCCUUCUGAAAACGCUGCUUCAAGGCAUCAGGACUGUCCAGCUCCGUGCCUGGAGAGCUCUCCAGUUCUUUGGAAUGUCCCUCAGUGAAUUCCAAUCUCUCCACAUCAGGAGCAAUUUCUGCAUGGGGUCCUGCUCCGCUCAUUCCUGCAGCCCCUGCAGUGGGAGCAGGACUAACCUUCUCAGCCUGCGGUACUCCAGAAGCUGUCCAUUCGUUCUCACUGCUUAGCUUGUCCGUGGAUUUCUCCAUGGAGAUGAACCUCAGUGCAGUUUGUCUUCCCUUAGCCGAAGGAUUUCCCAAGUUUCUGUCUCCUUUUAUGUGUUCCUUUAUUCCCGUUGUAUGCAUGAUCGAGUGACAGUUGUUUUUAAGUGUGUUGUGCUCUCACAAUGUGAUGUUUUUAUGAGCUGGCGAGUUAAUAAUUAACUUCAUGGCCAAGACGUUUUACAAUGGCUGUUAUCACUGAGCAAUUCCCAUCCAGAAGGAGAUCCCAUGGUGUAAUGAGACUGCAGCUUUGUUC